GGGGGCGGCGCCCUCUAUUGGCCCGCCGCCACUGGGAAACGGUCUGAUGAAGGCCAAGGGAGGAGUCGUGGGGACCAAUCUGAGGCCAUUCUUGGACAAACUGAGUCAGGUCCAAGGGCUGUAUGAGGCAGAGCAGAGGGGGAAAGAGAGGGCAAGGACAUGAAGAAAGGAUGCUCCUCGGUUGUACACCGCUCUGCAUUCAUGACAGGUUCCAGCUUCCAGUCCAACCCUCAGCCCCAGGUUCACACCCACCAGCCCAAGCUUGCCCAGGUCUGCACUCCCUCUCCCCCUCUUUUCAAUAAACACUAGUUUCCUAUUAA